rnacentral:rRNA from 1 species
UUGAAAGGGAAACGAUUGAAGUCAGUCGUACCAGCGGGAAAUCAACCUUUCGAGUGGGGGUUUUGGAGUUUUGAAGAGUUUCAAAACCUUUGAGAUUUCAAAAAUUUCGCUCUUUUGGUGUACUUUCUCGUGGGUAGGUUAACAUCGAUUUUGAUCAUCAUAAAAAGAUUGGAGGAAUGUAGCUUCGAUCUUGUAUUGAAGUGUUAUAGCCUUUGGUAAAUGUGAUGAUUAGGAUCGAGGAUUGCCAACGAAUACCCUUUGGGCUAUCCGCCUGAUCUCUGAUACGUGGCCUUGGUAUCGAAAGCUUGCUUAUGGUAUUAAGGUAUUACGGUCAAAAGGUUAGAACGGAUUACAUUCGUUAAGGAUGUUGACGUA